CACCGCGGUUAUACGAGAGGCCCAAGUUGAUAUAUGCCGGCGUAAAGCGUGGUUAAGACUUAUGUACAACUAAAGCCAAACACCUUCAAAGCUGUUAUACGCACUCGGAGAUAAGAAAAUCAAUCACGAAAGUGGCUUUACUAUCCUGAACCCACGAAAGCUACGACA
rnacentral:rRNA from 1 species